UACGUAGGGGGCAAGCGUUGUCCGGAAUUAUUGGGCGUAAAGAGCGCGUAGGCGGCUGAUCGCGUCGGUUGUGAAAGCCCCCGGCUCAACUGGGGAGGGUCAUUCGAUACUGAUCGACUCGAAGGCAGGAGAGGGUAGUGGAAUUCCCGGUGUAGUGGUGAAAUGCGUAGAUAUCGGGAGGAACACCAGUGGCGAAGGCGACUACCUGGCCUGUUCUUGACGCUGAGGCGCGAAAGCUAGGGGAGCAAACGGG
rnacentral:rRNA from 1 species